rnacentral:rRNA from 1 species
GAUGAACGCUGGCGGCGUGCUUACCCCUGCCAGUCGAACGCUGAAGCCCAGCUUGCUGGGUGGAUUAGUGGCGAACGGGUGAGUAACACGUGAGUAACCUGCCCUUAACUCUGGGAUAAGCCUGGGAAACUGGGUCUAAUACCGGAUAGGAGCGUCCACCGCAUGGUGGGGGUUGGAAAGAUUUAUCGGUUUUGGAUGGACUCGCGGCCUAUCAGCUUGUUGGUGAGGUAAUGGCUCACCAAGGCGACGACGGGUAGCCGGCCUGAGAGGGUGACCGGCCACACUGGGACUGAGACACGGCCCAGACUCCUACGGGAGGCAGCAGUGGGGAAUAUUGCACAAUGGGCGCAAGCCUGAUGCAGCGACGCCGCGUGAGGGAUGACGGCCUUCGGGUUGUAAACCUCUUUCAGUAGGGAAGAAGCGAAAGUGACGGUACCUGCAGAAGAAGCACCGGCUAACUACGUG